UUUGCUUAUGUGGUUGUCCAAUAUCACCAUUAUGUUGUUGUCGCCUAAGUUUCUAACCACAGCCUGCCAUUGACUUAGGUCAAGCACUGGUUUUCAAAUACGACCAGUAUGUUGUUCCCUCAAGUUUGAAACCUAUUAGGAAACAUGCGUUAACACUGGCUUUACAGCAUCGUUGCCGAAAUCUCAAGCAAAAAAUCUCCUAGAUUUCGGUAAACUACUCAUGAAAACAUCAAUGAAAUACACUGUGCUCACCUUGUAAGCCUCAAGGAGAGGGAGAUCAACCAG